rnacentral:tRNA from 1 species
GGGGGCAUAGCUCAGUGGUAGAGCAUCCGACUGUAGAUCGGAAUGUCUCCGGUUCAAACCCGGAUGCCCCCU